rnacentral:rRNA from 1 species
CCCUUAGAUGUCCUGGGCCGCACGCGCGCUACACUGAGUGUCUGAGAUACGAGUCUGCCUGGUCCGGCAAGGUCUAGGUAAUCGCUAAAAGACACAUCAUGCUUGGGAUAGAUUAUUGCAACUAUUAAUCUUGAACGAGGAAUUCCUAGUAAGCGCAAGUCAACAGCUUGCGUUGAUUACGUCCCUGCCCUUUGUACACACCGCCCGUCGCUACUACUGAUUGGAUGUUUAAGCGAGGUUCUCGAACUGCUAGCGACUUAGCUUCGGUGAGGUCGCAGUGUGGGAAGUGAACCUAGCUUUGGUGUCUAGAGGAAGUAAAAGUCGUAACA